CUCUCUUCAACUUUAUUGCAACAUUCAAAAGGUGGUUGACAGAUGAGGAAGAACAAAAUACAGCAGACUACCAACCAAGCAGUAAAUUGAUGGAGGAUUUUGACAAGAUUGGAAGGGAUGACAAGACCAGAUUUUCAUUUGCUAUGUAUUAAUUAGUUCUUGUACAACUUUAAUUUAUACCAGUUGGAGACUAAGCAUGCACUGAUCUCUGUAUAUGUUUAUUUCAUGUGAAUGAGAUGAGGGAAUUUGGCAA